UACAGAGGGGGCAAGCGUUGUUCGGAAUUACUGGGCGUAAAGGGCGCGUAGGCGGCCGACUAAGUCAGACGUGAAAUCCCCAGGCUUAACCUGGGAACUGCGUCUGAUACUGGAUGCUCGAGUUCGGGAGAGGGAAGUGGAAUUCCAGGUGUAGCGGUGAAAUGCGUAGAUAUCUGGAGGAACACCGGUGGCGAAGGCGGCUUCCUGGACCGACACUGACGCUGAGGCGCGAAACCAGGGGAGCAAACGGGG
rnacentral:rRNA from 1 species